rnacentral:rRNA from 1 species
AUUGAACGCUGGCGGCAGGCCUAACACAUGCAAGUCGAGCGGAUGAGUGGAGCUUGCUCCAUGAUUCAGCGGCGGACCGGUGAGUAAUGCCUAGGAAUCUGCCUGGUAGUGGGGGACAACGUUUCGAAAGGAACGCUAAUACCGCAUACGUCCUACGGGAGAAAGUGGGGGAUCUUCAGACCUCACGCUAUCAGAUGAGCCUAGGUCGGAUUAGCUAGUUGGUGAGGUGAAGGCUCACCAAGGCGACGAUCCGUAACUGGUCUGAGAGGAUGAUAAGUCACACUGGAACUGAGACACGGUCCAGACUCCUACGGGAGGCAGCAGUGGGGAAUAUUGGACAAUGGGCGAAAGCUUGAUCCAGCCAUGCCGCGUGUGUGAAGAAGGUCUUCGGAUUGUAAAGCACUUUAAGUUGGGAGGAAGGGCAGUAAGUUAAUACCUUGCUGUUUUGACGUUACCAACAGAAUAAGCACCGGCUAACUUCGUGCCAGCCGCCGCAGUAAGAC